GGAGUCCUUAUUGCACAAAGGGUCAAUCCUGUAACCAUCCCCCACAACAUCUCCCAUCAAAGGGUCUGCCCUGAAACCAUCCCCCACGAAACCUCCCAACAGCUCCAGCUACAGUGUAUCACCUCCACUUCCCCCACCUUAAAGGUCCCCCAUCCACCUCCACCCCCCCACCCACCUCAGUGGCAACUCUUUCCAUCACUGAGAGCAACGCUAAACUGAACCCCCGGAAAGCUGCUGGACCGGAAGCUGUCUCCCCAUCCAGCUUGAAGCACUGGGCUGAUCAGUUGUCU